AUUAAUACCUUGCAAAGUUCUGUCUUGUCUCAUCCCCCAACAACAAUACAAACAUACUUCUUGCAGUCUGGCUGCCUGGUUAAACAGAUAAUGUAAUAUGCCCAUAGCUGGAGGCAGUGGGCUAGAACCCCAAGCACAAACACACAGUUCUAGCAAACACCAUGCACUACUCCAGCUUGGUGCCUUAAUGCUCUGUCACAAGACCUCUCCACUCACUCAGAAAAAUAGGGCUGUGAGACUUGUGAUGUCAUUUACUAAAAGGUCUUCUCUUCUUCAACCAUAUUCUUGCCAGACCCCCAGAAACGGCCAUCCAGUUCGACAGAGCAGCAAGGCCCAGAAAUCUACCCCCAGACAGGCCACGAGACAUAUGCAGAAUACAUAACUUACCUCUGAAAGAGGAGCUCUUUCAUAAAGCCUGCCAAAAUAAAGAACUGUCGACGGCCAUCAGGUGACCGUGUUCC